GACGAACGCUGGCGGCGCGCCUAACACAUGCAAGUCGAACGAGCGAGAGAGAGCUUGCUUUCUCAAGCGAGUGGCGAACGGGUGAGUAACGCGUGAGGAACCUGCCUCAAAGAGGGGGACAACAGUUGGAAACGACUGCUAAUACCGCAUAAGCCCACAGCUCGGCAUCGAGCAGAGGGAAAAGGAGCAAUCCGCUUUGAGAUGGCCUCGCGUCCGAUUAGCUAGUUGGUGAGGUAAUGGCCCACCAAGGCGACGAUCGGUAGCCGGACUGAGAGGUUGAACGGCCACAUUGGGACUGAGACACGGCCCAGACUCCUACGGGAGGCAGCAGUGGGGAAUAUUGCACAAUGGGGGGAACCCUGAUGCAGCGACGCCGCGUGGAGGAAGAAGGUCUUCGGAUUGUAAACUCCUGUUGUUGAGGAAGAUAAUGACGGUACUCAACAAGGAAGUGACGGCUAACUACGUGCCAGCAGCCGCGGUAAAACGUAGGUCACAAGCGUUGUCCGGAAUUACUGGGUGUAAAGGGAGCGCAGGCGGGAAGACAAGUUGGAAGUGAAAUCUAUGGGCUCAACCCAUAAACUGCUUUCAAAACUGUUUUUCUUGAGUAGUGCAGAGGUAGGCGGAAUUCCCGGUGUAGCGGUGGAAUGCGUAGAUAUCGGGAGGAACACCAGUGGCGAAGGCGGCCUACUGGGCACCAACUGACGCUGAGGCUCGAAAGUGUGGGUAGCAAACAGG
rnacentral:rRNA from 1 species